CCUAAGUUAAUGGGCUUCUGGCUAAAUACUUUAAUUUAUGCACCCUACAUUGUCUUUUCAGUGCAGUUUUCAGUAAUUUAUAGGAAGUGCUGUCUACUGCAUUGUGUUAUUUAGUACCAUGGAUGACUCUCAGAUAUAGUCUGCACACCGGUCUUCGGCAGGAGAGGGAAGCAAUAUUAUAUGGACUCUGGACCGGCUCUUGCUCUCCUGUUCUGGGGGAAAAGCUCUUGGAUGGGUGAGUUACUGAGGAGAGUUAUGGCAGCGUUGGCACAGAAUCCCCUGAGUAAUGCCAAACCAUUAGGAAGAGAUAGGAUGAGGGGGAAGGCCCUGAAUUAUCUGACAGUGUUGGCCACUGGGGUAGCCAAGAUUCCUACUAGGCAGAGGAAGCCAAACUGAGGGAACAUAACCCCCAAAGCCAUGCAGCCAGAUAUUCUUCACAUGCAGGUGCAGCAGGGAGCUCACAGUGGGACCAUCUAAAGAACCCACCUCCACUUGCAGCUAUACUUUCAAAGGACAACCAUUAUUUUCUUAAUGCUUAUUAAGUUCCUACUCCAAAUAUGUACUGUGUGAAGAAUAAUUUCACUUGUUAAUUUCAUUUUCUCAGCAAUUCUCUUCUAGUUUUUACAUUUCCUGUCAGAGGAAUACAUCCUGGGAAAAGAACCUCCCAUUUGUGAUGCUAUUACCCAGUAGCAACCUAUAUGAUCUGGGUUUUGGAAGACCAGCCCAGGGCAAGAUGUGUUCACCUCCCCUCCCUGGGUGAAAAGAUGAGUAAAUCACUCACCCUCCAGGAACCUGAUGUCCAAUACAAGAGAUGUGAUGUGUUUUCAAGAAUUUGUGGUAGAAUGCACAGAGUCAGGCUGCUUCCCAGCUGUCUGGUCAACCUUCUGCUAUAGACCCAACACCAACACCCAGGAGGGUGCUGUCUAACUAGUGAGGCUUCUAUCAAAUCUGCAGAGCCAGGCAUCCCUGAAAGAGGAAGCUGAGACACCACAGAAAGGCUUAGGAAAGGGAUUGUGGAAGCCCCCAGACCUUGAACAAGAUAUGACCUGGAACAGAUUUUUCUCAAGUUACAUUUGAUCUAAAAGGGACAUGCUACUCCAGUUGCUAAAGGCCUCACUACUUUUAUUUCCUACCACUCCCCGGCUACUCCAAAUAUUUCUCUUACUUCUUUGACCCCUCAUCCACAGGAAAGAAAUUCUGAGAGUCCCCAAGGCACAGACUGCCCACCCCACCCCCGCUGAAGAAUCACAAGACAAGAUGUCUACAAAAGAGGCGGGGAGUCUGGGUGGUAGAAAACAAUGACGUCAUUAGGAGGGAAGCUUGAGCUGCUAAUAACUGGCACAUAACAAAUAGAUGCGGUAUAAAUGCAAUUUAUGUGGAUCAUAAUGUACUCAAUUCAUCCCCAUAAAUGAAGGUAAAAUUGUACCUCACCUGACAGUUUCCAGUUCUUACUUAUCAUUAGCAGUGAUAAAUCCCACACAAUAAUGGGAGUUCCUGGAGACAACUUUUCAUUUCUGGGUAGCUUGGGUUAGUCACAUUCAAACCACAAUUUGCUCAUCUUUCCAAAAGCAAACCUAGGCAUUAUUAGAUGUGAAAUUCAUUUUUUAGCCUUAAGUAGUUUUUGAGAAAGUAAUACAAUCACAUAGGAAAAAAAAAUUCAGACAAAUAAGAAUUUUCUACAGACUUCCUGCCUCCUCUCUUCUCUCAAUCAAGUCCUUCCCUGGUGAUAACUAUUGUUAUAAAUUUCUUAUGAAUCCUCCAGGAGGUCAAACUUGUAAACAUAAGGUGCAUAUUUAGAGAUCACUCUUACCUUUAUACAAGUGGAAUCAUGCUAUAUACACUGAAUUGCACUUUUUUUCCUUCUACUGUGCCAUGGAGAUCAGUCCUUAUCAGUGGAAAUAAACCUUCCUCACUCCUUUUAACAACUGCAUAGUAUUCUAUUUUAUGGAUGGAACAUAAUUGAUUUAACCGAGUCCCAACUGAUGGACUUAACAGUUAUUGUUCUAGUCUUCUGUUCCCAAGUGCAGUAAUAAAUGGUCUUUUGGCUCCAUUUAAGUUUUCUUUCAAUGCAACCACUGCCUGAUUCAAUUCCCCCACCUUUUUCACCCAGAUUCAGGAGCCCAGCCUGAGAGACAGAACAAAGUCUCUGCGGAGCUGCGGUUCUCAGUAAAAUAAAAUAAAAUAAAAUCUUCCCUCCCUAAGCUCAUCUUAAGGGAGUUGCUCAGAGCAGAAUGUGUAAGAAUAAUAAAUCUCUCUCGACACAGGAGUUGGGAGGAGAGGCUGCCCAGGCCACGGCAAUGGGCUUCUCAGUUUGAGAUGUCGACAGCUAUGCUGAAAGCAGAAAAUGGAGCCAUAUAAAUCUGUAAUUGUAACCCCCAUUCUCACAGGCGGAGAGCUACCUGCUUGUAGCUGGUGCUCAUUACCUGCUUACAACUGUAAUUUCUGUGUGGUCUUUUUCCCUACCCUCAGUUCAGUGGGGAUUCAGAGCUGUGGUGGUAGUGCUGGGUAUUUUUUAAAGGAGAAUGAAAAGGUACCAAUUAUGGAAAAGUGAUUUCUCUUCUGGAAUCCAACUGCUAUGGACUUCACUACCCCUCUUCAGGUGAGAACAUCACAACCUCGUGCAGACACACAGAUUGUUUCUGGAAAAAGAAAUCCCCUUUACCAUCCCACAAGAGCAUCAGAUGGCUAGGCUGGAUUGUAGUUGAGUUCAAGUGCUUGCCAGCUCGAACAAAUAGACCAGCUCGUCGUCUUCUCAGGAUGCCUAGAGUAUGUGUCCUGGCUGGAAAGAAGGAAGCUGCUUGUUUUACUGGAUUCAUUAUGGAGCCCAAACAAUGCAGAAAACAGAGGUAACUUUCAUUAACAUGAUUCAUUGCAAAGGUGUUCAUCAUUCUUCAAAGUUCUCCCUCUACAGAGACCCUCAAAGCAGUAAGCUUCAACAAUAUGGAUAUGUGAUCAGAAAAGACAGUCAUACCUGUAUACCCAGCUCAUUGGAAGCAGCUGUGGGGACUGUGGACCACAACUGGUGAACCAAGUCCUAAAACCCCCAGAUGGGACACUAUGUCUUCUGUCCUUUGCCUAUGACAACUAUGGGAUGUCACCCAAGUGGCUUCAGCCCUGAAGAGGGUACUGAAAAGGGGAAACAGGACCUGGAAAAUUCUGAGUAAUUAAUUAAAAUGCCUCUCAGCUCAAGCUUGAGUCCAGGAUCAAGGGCCGGGUACCAAGCAGACCCUGCCUGAUCCUGCACAAUUCUUUAUUCCCAUCAGGUGGACCUUAGACCAGGGGAGCCAGUGUCCUUUCCUCUAGUCUCUAUUGUUGAGAGAGAAAAAAAGAUUGUCUUUUCAUUUUUGACUCCCCAGUAGUUGCCAUUGGUUCCCCAGGAACCAAACAAAUAUGUGCUGAAUGAAUGGACGAAUGAGAACUAAAACAUCAGGAGCUACUCACUCGCUUAAAUUAUGAUUCCCUAAGAACAGCAGUUCUUUGAGGUGAGGAACUGAGGUGGUCCUUCCCUUGUACACCAUGAUGAUGAUGCUCAAUGCACAGCCACAAAAGCAGCCCCUGUCUCCAAGGAGUGUCCUAUAAUUAAACGUGUCAAAUUGAGUCACAAACGCAGGCCACCACACAGCACCAUGAAUCACAUUCAAAACUGCACGUAUGCAUCUGUAUGCGUUUUUCAGCAAGAAGUUCCUCACUCCCUCAAAGUUCCUCAAAGGGACCCAUAACCCCAAAGAGCUCCCUGUUCACCAACUUACAGAAUCAGAAAGCCUGCAAACUGGAGCAGUCUCCUCUGCCCUCCCUGAUGUGGAGCGGGACUGAGCAGGGGAGGCUGCAGGUGUGAGUUCUGCUGACUAACAAGCAUCAUUGCUCUGCUUUAUGGAAACAGAUAAAUCACCAGGACUUAAAGAAUCUCAGUCUCAGGAACUCUCUUGUGCUUGACAGCAAGCACAUUUUUUUCCACCAAGUCAACAUCUCCAGAAGGAGCAGCCAAGCCCUGUCAGUCCAAGAAAAAGAAAAGAGGCUUGGAGCAAGAUUAAAGAAAUAAAUAAAGCACAAUCUGCAAGCUGGGAAAACAGGAUCAUCCUAUAAUGAUGCUAAACCGCUUGAUUCUGGAAGGGAGGGCAAGAACAGGUGACACGCUGUGUCGGCCCUAAUCCCAGAAGGUAUGCAAUGAAAAGGUACCUUUCAUCUCUGUCCAUGUGGGAGGGUGGGGGGAAUCCAGGGAGGCUGGGUGCCACCUCUGGGCAUGAAGGAGUGCUCAGUGCUGGAUUUGCUACAGCAGUGUUCAGGGAAAUAUCACCUGGGUGCAUCUCCUUAGUACUGUACAGAAAACAUCCCUCAUCAUAAAAGGCCUGGCUGUGUCCCUGAUUUUUCAGGACCUUACUCUGCAUUUAAACAGACCUUGUCCCUGCCUAUUUCUAGAGCAGGUUUUUUUCAACCUUGGCACUACCGACAUUUGAGACUAGGUAAGUCUCUGUGGUGGAUGCUGUCCUGUGCGUUUAGGAUGUGGAGCAGCAUCCCUGGCAUUUAUUCAGCAGAUGCCAGAAUCACUCGACCCACCAGUUUUAACAAUCCCAACAGUCUCCAGACGUUGUCCAAAGCCUCCUGGAGCACAAAACCACCCCCAGGAAGGACCACCACUCCCGCUGUAUCCCGGGGCACACCAGACCUGAGGGACGUUAACAGCUAUUACUUAGGGAGAAAUAGGAAAAUGUGGUCACAUAGUUGGGGAAAUACUGGAUUAAAUAAAGAUAAACAGGACUUCUCCCCGAUGGAUUUCUCAGAGUCUGAAAUAGAUCAGGGUGCACUGUGAAUCUCUAAGAGGAAAACAUAAUACCCAGCUUUUUCCCAAAGGCAUUUGGCUGCAGAAUCCUUUUAUCUCAGAGCCUUUUGGAUUAGUAUUCCAAGGGAUUUGCUUUUGGAAAUACUUCUGUAAGGCAAAAUUGGAAAUGUACCUCUAAGGCAAACACACCCAGAGGAAGGGAUGGAGGAGAAGCUGAAGGUGUGGGGAGCAGCCCACGCACACACCACAAUUUCCUGCCACACAACCUCUCUUUGAACCCCAGGCUGCACCAUUAGAGAUUCAUUUUUUUGAGAACACAUUUCAGUGUUCAGGCUUCAGAAGUCCCAAAUAUUUUGGAAGCUAAUAAAAUGGUAAAACAGUAUCAGCUAACACUUUAGAGCUAGCAUGAGGGCUGCCUCUGAUGUAAUAUUCACAGCCUAUGCUUAGGGACUUUAGAAAAGUGGGAGACAGAGAAAGGUUGUCUUGAAGAAGGGUUAGAAUUGUUCUUUGUAAAAUAGAUUUAAAAUAGUACUAUUCUACUAAAUAAACCUGAUGGUGAUUUCCACAGAGUUCAAAGAUUAUAAAAAAAUUAGAGCUGGAAAGGACCUUGAAUCUUCUAUUCCUCUUAUAAACUUAUUUUAUCUACCAAAGCCAUUUAUUCAAAGCUCAAAAUAUGAAACAUAAGAUCAUAACUAUUCUCUUUUAAUAUGACUGGUAU
rnacentral:lncRNA from 1 species